AUGUGGAAUCCCAAUGCCGGCCAGCCAGGACCAAAUCCAUAUCCCCCCACCAUAGGGUACCCUGGAGGUUCCAAUCCUGCCCACCCACCACCUAUCAAUCCACCCUUUCCCCAAGGCCCCUUUCUUCCUCUCCCAGGGCAAUCCAGCUUUCCCCCCAGGUGGGCCCCCUCAUCCUGUGCCACAGCCAGGGUAUCCAGGAUGCCAAUCCUCGGGUCCCUACCCUCCUCCAUACCCACCACCUGCCCCUGGAUGCCUCCUGUGAAUCCCUUGGCUCCUGGCAUGUUCGGACUAGGAGUGAUAGAGGACAAGAAGAUGCAGAUGAAAAUGAAGAAAGCUCACAAAAAGAUGCACAAGCACCACGAGCAUGGCAAGCAUUCCUCCUCCUCUUCCAUCAGUGACUCUGACUGA
rnacentral:lncRNA from 1 species